CACAGGACUAGAGGAGAGGACUGGUACCAGGAGACAUACAACUAGAGGAGAGGACUGGUACCAGGAGACACACAACUAGAGGAGAGGAUUGGUACCAGGAGACACACAGGACAGAGGAGAGGACUGGUACCAGCAGACACACAACUAGAGGAGAGGAUUGGUACCAGGAGACACAACAUGACAGAGUAGAGCUGGUACCAGGAGACACUCAACAUCGCUGAGUAGAGGACUGGUCUGGUCACAAAAUGACUGAGAUUAAGCUAUAGAAAAUAAACCAAUUUGAUAUUAUGAGGGAAGAUAUUUUAACCUCUGUUACACUGGUACCAGCAGACACACAGGAACACUGAGUCUGAGAGCAGCACAGAGGACCAGCAGGAGGACAACCAGCCUGAGACCCAGAGACCAGCCAGACUCACUCAAAACCCAGAGCCCUCUACCCAGACACCCAGACCCAGAGCCCUGUACCCAAACCCAGAGCCCUCUACCCAGACACCCAGACCCAUGUACCCAGACCCAGAGCCCUGUACCCAAACCCAGAGCCCUGUACCCAGACAAUCAGACCCAGAGCCCUCUACCCAGACACCCAGACCCAGAGCCCUGUACCCAAACCCAGAGCCCUCUGCCCAGACACCUAAACCCAGAGCCCUCUACCCAGACACCCAGACCCAGAGUCCUCUACCCAGACAUCCAAACCCAGAGCCCUCUGCCCAGACACCCAGACCCAGAGCCCUCUACCCAGACACCUCUACCCAGAUACCCAGGUUCCCAGACCCAGAGCCCUCUACCCAGACACCCAGACCCAGAGUCCUUUACCCAGACACCCAGACCCAGAGCCCUGUACCCAGACAAUCAGACCCAGAGCCCUGUACCCAGACACCCAGAGCCCUCUACCCAGACACUCGGACCCAGAGCCCUCUACCCAGACACCCGGACCCAGAACCCUCUACCCAGACACCCAGAGCCCUCUACCCAGACACCCAGACCCAGAGCCCUCUACCCAGACCCAGAGCCCUCCACCCAGACCCAGAGCCCUCUACCCAGACACCCAGACCCAGAGCCCUCUACUCAGAGCCCUGUACCCAGACAAUCAGACCCAGAGCCCUCUACCCAGACACCCAGACCCAGAGCCCUGUACCCAAACCCAGAGCCCUCUGCCCAGACACCCAAACCCAGAGCCCUCUACCCAGACACCCAGACCCAGAGUCCUCUACCCAGACAUCCAAACCCAGAGCCCUCUGCCCAGACACCCAGACCCAGAGCCCUCUACCCAGACACCUCUACCCAGAUACCCAGACCCAGGUUCCCAGACCCAGAGCCCUCUACCCAGACACCCAGACCCAGAGUCCUUUACCCAGACCCAGAGCCCUGUACCCAGACCCAGAGUCCUGUACCCAGACAAUCAGACCCAGAGCCCUGUACCCAGACACCCAGAGCCCUCUACCCAGACACCCGGACCCAGAGCCCUCUACCCAGACACCCGGACCCAGAGCCCUCUACCCAGACACCCGGACCCAGAGCCCUCUAACCAGACACCCAGACCCAGAGCCCUCUACCCAGACACCCAGACCCAGAGCCCUCUACUCAGAGCUCUGUACCCAGACAAUCAGACCUAGAAGCCCUGUACCAGAGGAACAUGGUGUGUCCUGAUCCCUGCAACUGUCUGCUUUCCAUCUCCAACCAACCUCCAAGCUCUCUCUGACAGGAGAUAACCAGAGGACACUGUCUGUACCCAAAGCCUUGCUCCCGGUCCGACGGUGGAUUAUUUCAAUAGAUCUUCUAGUGCUCCCUUUUUUUACUCUCUCUGAACAUCACAUCUCACGUCUUAUUUGAUAAAGAAUGUGAUCUUUUGGAUGUUUUCCGACCAGUACUGUUUGCUGUCUCAAUACACUUAACAUGAAGAAAGAGGGUACUGAGGAACUGAUCAUAUUGAAGCAGAACUUUUCCUCAUUAAUAGAUUUACAGACUUACAGUUCAUUUAGAUUUGUGAAAGAUGUGGUUUUAGGGAGACAGAGAGUGACUGUGCAACAGAGGUGUGUUGGUGUCAGGGGGUGGUGAAACAUUUGGAGCCGUGGGUAGAGGUAUCAGGGGGUGGUGAACAUUUGGAACCGUGGGUAGAGGUUUCAGGGGGUGGUGAAACAUUUGGAGCCAUGGGUAGAGGUAUCAGGGGGUGGUGAACAUUUGGAGCCGUGGGUUGAGGUAUCAGGGGGUGGUGAACAUUUGGAGCCAUGGGUAGAGCUAUCAGGGGGUGGUGAACAUUUGGAGCCGUGGGUAGAGCUAUCAGGGGGUGGUGAACAUUUGGAGCCGUGGGUAGAGCUAUCAGGGGGUGGUGAACAUUUGGAGCCGUGGGUAGAGCUAUCAGGGGGUGGUGAACAUUUGGAGCCGUGGGUAGAGCUAUCAGGGGGUGGUGAACAUUUGGGGCCGUGGGUAGAGAUAUCAGGGGGUGGUGAACAUUUGGAGCCAUGGGUAGAGGUGUCAGAGGAUGUACGAUAGUUGUAGAUGUGUCAGGAUGCUCUAUGGUAGCUGUAAUCACUGCAUCUGACAACCUUCAACUAGCAGAGGAUACUCUGCCACCAGUCGACCCAGCGAGCCAGUCCAUUCAGCAGUCCGCCCAGGUCAGCACUGCCCAUUUGUCCCUCCCGGAUAAAUAUGACGGAGUAGAGGAUUGGUACAAGCACGGAAUCCCAUCUAAGUGGCUUCCUACUUAAGUGCUCCCUCUAUUUUGCGCAACAGAUGGGAGCCCUCACCACCGAGAGGUCCCAGGUUGCCUUGGUUAUUUCUCUGCUGACUGGGCGGGCGUUGGAGUGGGCUACAGCCAUCUGGGAGAGAAGAGAGGAGGAGCUGGCUUCGUAUGAGGGGUUCAUGGCUCUGUUCAGAGGUAUCUUCGUUCAUCCGCCGUAGGGCAGAGAGGGGAGUGAGCGCCUAUUCCAACUACGGCAGGAAUGACCAGAACGCUGCCGAGUACACGCUCACCUUCCAGACUGUAGCAGCAUCCAGCGGAUGGAAUGAGCCGGCGCUCCGUACGCUAUUCAGAAGAGGACUGCGCGAGAAGGUCCAGACACAACUGGCAUGUCGAGACGACAACCUCUCCUUGGAGCCUGAACAACGCAGACGGAAACAGCUGGGGCUCUGUCCCUAUUGUGGUCAAGGGGGGCACCAGCUUCAGCAAUGUCCGGUACUUCCCAACUCGGGAUCCACGAGAGCAGAGAGACGGUCACGUGAUCAUCCACCUCCUGGGGCAGUUGUGAGUAUCCCAUUUUCAGAAUUUUCUGCCAAACACUUUUUAGUGUCGGUCACACUAGCUGGCUGUCCCUCAUGUACUGUUUAUACAGAACUUGUGGAUUCUGGUGCCACUGGGAACUUUAAUGACCAGACUCUUACCCGCUCUUCUCUCUGUUUCCGGAUCAAGCCUUUGAUAAUUGCCCACCAGGAUCCGGAACCAUCACACAUCAUCACGCCCCUCACCCUCAUCGUGGAGUCCAUUCAUCAGGAAAACAUUCCCUUCAUCACUAGUGCACCAGCUCCUCUGCCUCCCAUGGCUCCAACACCAUAACCCCACCAUCGUAUGGUCGAGGAUGAGAAUCACAGACUGGUCACCUGAAUGCCGGAGGAACUGCUAUCCCGUCCCCUCUCGAGUCAUAGCUCCUGUGGUCUGUGACAUUGAUGUGGACAUUCGCCAGGCUCUGGAAAGGGAAACCGCACCCACUACCUCCCACGGGGAUAAGGGAUCGGCUGCUAACUUGGGCGCACACAGCUAUUGUCGCUGUAAAUCCAGGGACCAUCCGUACUAUACAAUCUCUCUCCAAAAAGUAUUGGUGGCCCACCUUGGCGCAAGAUGUUAUUCAGUACGUCAACUCCUGUUCCGUAUGUGCCCUGGCACGCUCCAGCAGGGAAACUCCUUCCGUGCCUCAGCAUCCCUGGUCGCUGAGGCAGCGUUCCAGCAGGUCUUCUGGCAUUAUGGCCUUCGGGAGAACAUCGUCUCCGACUGUUGCUCCCAAUUUGACAUCACGGACAUGAAGAGCCUUCAUGGAGAAGCUUGAGGUCACGGUCAGCCUCACUUCCGGGUAUAGGCCUCAGUCUAAAGGGCAGGCGGAGAGGAUGAACCAGGAGCUGGGGAGGUUCCUGAGGAGCCACUGCCAGGACCGGCAGGGGGAGUGGGCCCGAUUCCUUCUGUGGGCAGAGUAUGCCCAGAAUUUGUUACGUCACUCCUCCACCAGACUGACUCCAUUCCAGUGUGUUCUGGGUUAUCAGACGGUCCUGGCUCCGUGGACCCGGGCCAGACCGAAGCUCCUGCGGUGGUUUAGGCACACAGAAGAAGUGUGGAGCGAUACCCAUGUGAGACUCCAGCGCGCCGUCCAAUGUCAGGAGUAGGAGGAUCGCCACCGCAGUGAAACUCCCGUGUUCCAUCGUGUUUGGCUCUCUACCAGGAACCUCCCACUCCGCCUGCCCUGCAAGAAGCUGAACCCCGGUUUGUGGGGCCGUUCAAGGUUCUCCGGAGGGUCAACGAGGUGACGUAUGGAUUACAGCUCCCCAGUGACUAUCGUAUCUCACCUUCCUUUCAUGUCUCCCUUCUCAGGCCGGUGGUUCCUGGUCCCCUGGCUCAAACUGUCCCCACGACGGGGACGGACGGAUGGGGGGGUACUGUCACGCCUACUCCCGCUCCCCCUCUCCGGCGCUCGACGUCGCAGAUUUACAAAUCACUGCCUCUGACAACCAUCAUUAUGUACACCUGGCACCAUCGUUACCCCCCCAAAGCGCCUCAUUAUGAGACUCACCUGGACUCCUUCACUGUUUACCUCCCCUAUAUCUGUCGCUCCCUUCGUUCCACUCCCCAGGCAGUAUUGGUUGUGUGUUUCAUGUCCAAACGCUACUCUUGUUUUGUAUCGUUCCAUGUUCAUUGUAUUAUUAAACUCACCACCUGCU
rnacentral:lncRNA from 1 species